GGAAAAAGGACAGCUGAGUUUUUACUAACCAAGGGCAUGCCAAUGUCACUGCCAGUGUACAAAGGACCUGGAGGAGGGAGCUACUGGUCUCUCAGAGGUCACUGAGCUGUUCUCUGCACAAGCUGUUCUCUGGGAAGAAGGAGAGAGGAGCUGCUGAAGGAAGGCAUGCAUGCGGCUCCUGCUUCAUAUCCACCAGAACAACAGGGAAAGGCAGUAAGGAUGAGUGGAAAGGAGGUGGCUGAGGCCGUCCUAGGGUUACAGCAGACCAGGCGACUCUGCUACUCCAGAACCACAUGACAGUGUGUCCUCUGCCAAG
rnacentral:lncRNA from 1 species